UGCGAUCCUAAUGCGCACUCAAGCGCAACAACCUCGUGACCCGUGACGUUCCGACAAUUAGUGACGUCACCAGACGCUCAUUCCGCGCGCCUUUUAUGGGCGAACGUCGAAGGCCAGCGGAGUCUGCGACUGUUUUGUUGUUCCAUAGUUUAGCGGCCAAACUUCAAGUCGAACCAUUUACGGCUGUUGACAUAUAAACUAUGCUCUCGAAAUCACAAAAAUAAAAAAGUCAAUUAUACUCGAGUUAGAAGAAAGGCAAGCGAAGAGCUCUUGUGAGUUGUACUUACGAGUAAAAGCAGCUAAUACAAUUCGGUUCGUUGAGCGCAGAGAAAAGAGAGGUGGUGCAUACCAUUCGAUUGCUACCAAAUCACCAGCGUCACCGCAAUCGUUUCUGCAGCCAAGACCGACCCAGGUUCUUCCAGCGCACAACAAUGCCGACGAGAAUCAUAAUUUCAAGGCGGAGAAAGACCAGUUGGUCCAACAAGUCAGUAACACUGUUACCGCCCCACUACCCAAGCAAACUAAGCAAG